CCCAGGGAGGAUGUUUCCAGUCAAGAAUAGUGGAUGGCCAUGUUUGCUUCAUGUCUGAACUUGCAGCUGCAGGAGAGGUGGGGAUCCCUGAAGUAGCCUUUAAAGUGCCAUUUAAGAGGGCAACAUUUGCUGCACAACUAAGGUUGCAGGAUUGUUCCCCAUAAGGGACUCCUGCGAUGUAGCAGGUUGGACUGGAUGACCCUUGGGGUCCCUUCCAGAGGUUUAUAUACCAUCUUUAUUCUUUGGAAAGGGCUUCAGAAAGAGAAAUAGCGUUCCUUAAAGUUAGUUGCAGCCCAACACAGGAAAGUCGCCUCGCUUCCUGUUAGCUCCCUUAUUCUUCCUUGCACAUUAAUUUGAGCUUGGCAGAUCCUGUGCCAGUUUUGCACGUAUCCCUCUUUCAGUUCUUCUGGAAUAAUUCGCCCCCCCCCCCCAUUUCUCAGGCUGUAUGGGGCAUGCUGAAUUCCUGCUCCCAAAAAGGGAAGGAGAAGGGGAAGCUUCGCCUGAUGGAGGGAGGGAGAAGAGGGAAUCUUCUGAGACAAGAUGCCAGUGCCAGGGCUCUCCUGCUGCUGUCUUGUGGGGCGAGAGGGGCAAAGGGGAUCUUUGGGCACAAGAUCCAAAAAGCUGCUUUAACCAAACACCUGAUUCACCCAGCAGCGUGGCAGCCAAAUGAAAGAGAAGAAAAAGAGGCAAGGCAGCUCCUAGACCUCUCCAUGGAGUUGCAAAAGGCAGGUACAUCUGCCUAAGUCCACAUCCAUCCACCGGAAAAGCUUAGCCGCAAGGAGCCAAGGGAACGGUGGGAAAUGCCUAGCUAUCUCUCUAAAUCGGUAAGACUGCACAGUCCCCACACUUCCACAAGGCCUGGUCUUUUGCAGAGGUGCAUCCUGCCUUCUCUAAGGUGGAUUUCAGCUCAAACAGCUGGUUGAAAAGUCUUUUUUCCUCUCCUCACACCCGUAACCCUGGCAACCUCCCAGAGAACAGUCUCUAUUCUUCGAUGGUCAGGGAGAUUGCACUUUCCCCCAGUCUCUCCAAAAAUGGAAACCUUAGCACUUAGUAAUCUCUUAAUGCAGUUUGGGGGGGGGGUGUUUGUGUGUGUCAGCCCUUAAAAAUAACUGUGCAAAUAUUUAAGACUUUCACCUGCUAUGCACUUAGGCUGGGAGCCCCAAUGGCACGAGACUAAGUGGGCUAAGCCCCUGCAGCAGGGGCCAAAACCAAAAGCCAGUUGAAUCAUUUACAUUGAUAAAUACUGGCACAUAUGUAUGCGUUUUGGAAAUUUGCAGCAGUUUGUAAUGUUAAGAGAGGUGUUCUAAAGAUAAGCACUUUAUACGCUCAUGGGCAUUCCCUUAGAGCAGGCUCAUGGUUGUUUCCUUUUCUGGAGGCAUAAAUGUUCUCAGCAGAUGUACAAUCACGCUGAAGGCUUCAGGCCUCUUCCUGACUGUUGAAAUGCUCCUGGGGAGACUGUAAGCAGCACUUCCUCCGCUCCCAGUCAGCCAAGGGGGUGGCAAGGUGUGCUUCAUGGCGCAACUUGCAGCUGCAGUUUAAAGUGCCUUAAAAGUGCCAUUUCAUAGGGCAACACUGACAGCACAACCAAGGUUGGUGGAGUUCUCCUGCAUAUUCCUGCCUUGCAGUGAGCUGGGCUGGAUGACCUUUGGGGUCCCUUCCAGAUAUAGAUAUGAAUGCAGCAUCAUAGGAUUCCUUGGAAUGUGGUUCAGAACGAAGAAACACUCCUUAAAUUACAGGAUGUAGGUGGUGCUGUGGGUUAAACCACAGAGCCUAGGACUUGCCGAUCAGAAGGUCACCGGUUUGAAUCUCGGCGACGGGGUGAGCUCCCUUUGCAGGGUCUCUGCUCCUGCCAACCUAGCAGUACGAAAGCAUGUCAAAGUGCAAGUAGAUUAAUAGGUACCACUCCGGCGGGAAGGUCAAUGGCGUUUCUGUGCGCUGCUCUGGUUCGCCAGAAGCGGCUUAGUCAUGCUGGCCACAUGACCUGGAAGCUGUACACCAGCUCCCUGUAGCAAUAAAGCGAGAUGAGCACCACAACCCCAGAGUUGGCCACGACUGGACCUAAUGGUCAGGGGUCCCUUUACCUUUGACAAAGGUCAGAAGUUUUAAGUCUGCUGUUGUAAGUGUAUUGGUUGGGCUUUGGGUCAUUAUUAGGGCUGGGGUUAGGGGUAAGGGCCUCCCCCUGACAGUUGAAAUGCUCCCAGGGAGGAUGUAAGCAGAACUUCCUCUGUUUCCAGUCAAGAAUAGUGGAUGGCCAUGUUGGCUUCCUGGCUGAAUUUGCAGCUGCAGGAGAGGAGGGGAUCCCUGAGCUAUAAUUAAGCAGCCUUCAAAGUGCCAUUUAAGAGGGCAACAUUUGCUGCACAACCAAGGUUGCGGGAUUGUUCCCCGUAAGGGAGUCCUGCAUGUUCCUGCGAUGCAGCGGGUUAGACUGGAUGACCCCUGGGGUCCCUUCCAGAGGUUUAUAUUCCAUCAUUAUUCUUUGGAAAGGGCUUGAGAAAGAAGAAAGAGAAAUAGCAUUCCUUAAAGUUAGUUGGUCUAACACAGGAAAGUCGUCUCGCUUCCUGUGAGCUCCCUUAUUCUUCCCUGCACAUUAGUUGGAGCUUGGCAGAUCCUGUGCCUCUUUUUACACAAACCCCUCUUUCAGAUCUUCUGGAAAAUAUCCGCCCCCCUGUUAUUUCUGAGGUCUCUAUGGGCUGUGCUGAAUUCCUUCUCCCAAAAAGGGGGAGGAGAAGGAAGGGGGCAGUUUUGCGUGAGAAAGGGAGGGAGAAGAGUGGUGAGAGGGGGAACGGGGAUCUUUUGAGACAAGAUCCAAACACCUCCUUUAACCAAACGCCUGAUUCGCCCAGCAGUGUGGCAGCGAAAGGAAAGAGAAGAAAAAGAGGCAAGGCAGCAGUGGAAAAAGAUGGGUUGCCUGCAUGGGCUCUGCUUUAUUCCUUCAUGUCGAAUGCUACAUCUGCCUAAGUCCACCUCCAUCCACCGGAAAAGCUUCUUAGCCGCAAGGAGCCAAGGGAACGGUGGGAAAUACCUAGCUAUCUCUCUAAAUCGCAGCGUGGCAGCGAAAGGAAAGAGAAGAAAAAGAGGCAAGGCAGCAGUGGAAAAAGAUGGGUUGCCUGCAUGGGCUCUGCUUUAUUCCUUUAUGUCGAAUGCUACAUCUGUCUAAGUCCACUUCCAUCCACCGGAAAAGCUUCUUAGCAGCAAGGAGCCAAGGGAACGGUGGGAAAUACCUAGCUAUCUCUCUAAAUCGGUAAGACCGUGCAGUCCCCACACUUCCACAAGGCCUGGUCCUUUCCAGCGGUGCAGCCUGCCUUCUCCAAAGGUGGAUUUCAGCUCAAACAGCUGGUUGACAAGUCUUUUUUCCUAUCCUCAAACCCUCCCAGAGAACAGUCUCUAUUUCUCGAUGAUCAGGGAGAUUGUAUUUUCUCACGGUCGCUCAAAAAAAUGAAACCCUAGCAUUUAGUAAUCUCUUAAUACAGUUUUGGGGAGUGUUUGUGUGUGUCAGCCCUUAAAAAUCAAUGGUGCAAAGAUUUAAGCCUGUCCCCCGCUAUGCACCUAGGCUGGGAGCCCCAAUUGCACGAGACUAAGUGGGCUGAGCCUCUGCAACAGGGGCCAAAACCAAAAGCCAGUUGAAUCAUUUACAUCGAGAAAUACUGGCACGUAUGUAUGCAUUUUGGAAAUUUGCAGCAGUUUGUAAUUCUAAGAGAGGUGUUUUAAGAAAAAACACUUUAUACACUUAUAAGCGUUCCCUUAGAUCAGGCUCAUGGUUGUUUCCUUUUCUGGAGAUAUAAAUGUUCUCAGCAGAUGUACAAUCUCCCCGAAGGCUUCAGGCCUCCUCCUGACUGUUGAAAUGCUCCUGGGGAGACUGUAAGCAGCACCUCCUCCGCUCCCAGUCAGCAAAAGGGGAUGGCAAGGUGUGCUUUAUGGCGCAACUUGCAGCUGCAGUUUAAAGUGCCUUAAAAGUGCCAUUUCAUAGGGCAACACUGACAGCACAACCAAGGUUGUUUGGUGGUUCUGCAUAUUCCUGCCUUGCAGUGGGUUGGGCUGGAUGACCCUUGAGGUCCCUUCCAGAUAUAGAUAUAUAUGCAGCACCAUAUGAUUCUUUGGAAUGUGGUUCAGAAAGAAUAAACAGAAAUAGCAUUCUUUUAAGUUACGGGACGCGGGUGGCGCUGUGGGUUAAACCACAGAGUCUAGGACUUGGCGAUCAGAAAGUCGGCUGUUCGAAUCCCCGUGACGGGGUGAGCUCCCGUUGCUCGGUCCCUGCUCCUGCCAACCUGGCAGCUUGAAAGCACGCCAAAGUGGAAGUAGAUAAAUGGGUAGCGCUUCGGCGGGAUGGUAAACCACAUUUCUGUGCGCUGCUCUGGUUCGCCAGAAGCGGCUUAGUCAUGCUGGCCACAUGACCCGGAAGCUGUACGCCGGCUCCCUCGACCAGUAAAGCGAGAUGAGGGCUACAAACCCAGCGUCGUCCGUGACUGGACCUAAUGGUCAGCAGUCCUUUGGCCUUUAACAAAAUUCAGAAGUUGUAAGUCUGCUGUUGUAAAUGUAGGCAUUGGGGUCAUUAUUAGAGUCGGGGUUAGGGGUAAGGGCCUCCCCCUGACAGUUGAAAUGCUCCCAGGGAGGAUGUAGGAGAGGUGUGGAUCCCUAAACUAUACCAAAGCAAAGUAAAGUGUGUCAUUUAAGAGGGCAACAUUUGCUGCACAAGUAAGGUUGCAGGAUUGUUCCCCGUAAGGGACUCCUGCAUGUUCCUGCGAUGCAGCGGGUUGGACUGGAUGACCCUUGGGGUUCCUUCCAGAGGUUUAUAUUCCAUCAUUAUUCUUUGGAAAUGGCUUCAGAAAGAAUAAACUGAAAUAGUGUUAAAUGUUCUCAGCAGAUGUACAAUCCCCCCGAAGGCUUCAGGCCUCCUCCUGACUGAUGAAAUGCUCUUGGGGAGGCUGUAAGCAGCACCUCCUCUGCUCCCAGUCAGCCAAGGGGGUGGCAAGGUGUGCUUCAUGGCACAACUUGCAGCUGCAGUUUAAAGUGCCUUAAAAGUGCCCUUUCAAGGGCAAGAUUGACAGCACAACCAAGGUUGGUGGUUAUUUUCCUGCAUAUUCCUGCCUUUCAGUGGGCUGGGCUGGAUGACCCUUGAGGUCUCUUCCAGAUAUAUAUGCAGCAUCAUAUGAUUCUUUGGAAUGUGCUUCAGAACGAAACAGAAAUAGCAAUAGUUGGUUGUAUGAUGACAAAGUUUCGUCACUUUAGUAUGUUACUCCUAACAGUUAAAUGCUACAACCCUUUGGUACUGUGAACGCCAAGGUUGCAGGAGGCUCUCCAUAAGAGACGCCUGCACAUUCCUAAGAGCUAGAAAGUGCCACACAAAGAAGCAGUAAAACAUACCUCCCGGUUGGUUGUAUGAUGGCCAACCGCUACCCCUCCACUGCCACUGGGUUAGGGUUAGGGUUUUAGGGUAAGGGUUA